rnacentral:rRNA from 1 species
UACGUAGGGGGCAAGCGUUGUCCGGAUUUAUUGGGCGUAAAGCGCGUGUAGGCGGCCAGGUAGGUCGGUUGUGAAAAUUGGAGGCUCAACCUCCAGACGUCGAUCGAAACCAUCUGGCUAGAGUCCGGAAGAGGAGAAUGGAAUUCCCGGUGUAGCGGUGAAAUGCGCAGAUAUCGGGAGGAACACCUGUGGCGAAGGCGGCCGACUGGGCCGACCCUGACGCUGAGGCGCGAAGGCGUGGGGAGCGAACGGG